rnacentral:rRNA from 1 species
AUUGAACGCUGGCGGAAUGCUUUACACAUGCAAGUCGAACGGCAGCACGGGUGCUUGCACCUGGUGGCGAGUGGCGAACGGGUGAGUAAUGCGUCGGAACGUGCCGAGUAAUGGGGGAGUAACGCAGCGAAAGUUAGUGCUAAUACCGCAUACGCCCUCGAGGGGGAAAGGUAGGGGGAGUCGGCAAGACCUCACGUUAUUCGAGCGGCCGACGUCUGAUUAGCUAGUUGGUGGGGUAAAGGCCUACCAAGGCGACGAUCAGUAGCGGGUCUGAGAGGAUGAUCCGCCACACUGGGACUGAGACACGGCCCAGACUCCUACGGGAGGCAGCAGUGGGGGAAUAUUGGACAAUGGGCGCAAGCCUGAUCCAGCCAUGCCGCGUGAGUGAUGAAGGCCUUCGGGUUGUAAAGCUCUUUGGCGGGGUACGGAGUGAUGACGGUACCCGCAGAAUAAG